rnacentral:rRNA from 1 species
GAGUUUGAUUCUGGCUCAGAUUGAACGCUGGCGGCAUGCUUUACACAUGCAAGUCGGACGGCAGCACGGGUGCUUGCACCUGGUGGCGAGUGGCGAACGGGUGAGUAAUGCAUUGGAACGUACCGAGUAGUGGGGGAUAACUGUCCGAAAGGAUAGCUAAUACCGCAUACGACCUCAGGGUGAAAGCAGGGGACCUUAGGGCCUUGCGCUAUUUGAGCGGCCAAUGUCUGAUUAGCUGGUUGGUGGGGUAAAGGCCUACCAAGGCGACGAUCAGUAGCGGGUCUGAGAGGAUGAUCCGCCACACUGGGACUGAGACACGGCCCAGACUCCUACGGGAGGCAGCAGUGGGGAAUUUUGGACAAUGGGCGCAAGCCUGAUCCAGCCAUGCCGCGUGUCUGAAGAAGGCCUUCGGGUUGUAAAGGACUUUUGUACGGGAAGAAAAGGUUGUGGAUAAUACCCCAUGACUGAUGACGGUACCCGUAAGAAUAAGCCCC